rnacentral:rRNA from 1 species
GAUGAACGUUGGCGGCGUGCCUAAUACAUGCAAGUCGAACGAAGACUGUAGUAAUACUGUCUUAGUGGCGAACGGGUGAGUAACGCGUGGGUGACCUGCCCCGAAGUGUGGGAUAACAGUCCGAAAGGAUUGCUAAUACUGCAUAAUAUCCAAGAGAUUAGAUGCUUUUGGAUUAAAGGAGUAAUUCGCUUCGGGAGGGGCCCGCGUCCCAUCAGCUAGUUGGUAAGGUAAUGGCUUACCAAGGCGAUGACGGGUAGGGACCUGAGAGGGUGGCCCCCCAAAUGGAACUGAAACACGGUCCAUACACCUACGGGUGGCAGCAGUAGGGAAUAUUAGUAAUGGGCGAAAGCCUGAACUAGCAACGCCGCGUGUGCGAAGAAGGCCUUCGGGUCGUAAACCUCUGUCAUGGGGGACAAGGAAGUGACGGUACCCAAGAGGAAGCCCCUGCUAACUACGUG